GAAACCUCAUAUUUAACUGGAUACAUGCAUCGAACUCAUCGCAGCUUUAACUUCGACCAAAUAUAAUUCAGACCUGGGCUCAUCUUAAUAUCAGAUGAACGUAAGGGAUUGCCGCGCUUAUUGUUGUUGUUAUUAUAUUACGGUAUAUCAGCAAAAGCAGAGAAUAUCUUCUCUUAAGCGUUUUACACGCCCAGUAAGUUGUCCAAUACAUUUUUAUGGCAUAUUGUUUCCACCACUUCAGAUGCAUUACAUGCAGUAUAUAAGUUUCCAAAACACAUCAAAUCAAUGCACGAAAAGAGAAUGGGCUCCGCAUUUACGUACCUUUGCCUUCUCGUCUCUGUCAUCUGAUCCUUCAUCUCUGGAUGUAAAAUAGUCCAUUAUAACAUCGUGUAGGAAACUGGCAUCACCAGGAUUGCUCAGAUUUAGGCGAUCAUGUUUAUCUUUAAAGUGAGCAGCUAGCUACUUAGUUAAAAAACUUUGCGUGAAAUAGUGUUACACCGCAGCCGGUCCGGGUAAAACAUUAAAGGGACAGUCUUUUUACCUUGUCACUAUAAAUCGCUAUUUUCUGCACUAAACGAGACAUUUUCAGAGAUUUUCUGUAGACAAGAUGUUAUAGAAUAAUAAUAAAAAAAAGGCUUGUUUAGAUAUUUAUAUAUAAUAUAUAAUAUAACAACUAAUAUAUAUAUAUUUGUUUUACAACUGACUAAACACUUACAGAAAGGUUUUAUUUGUUAGCAUAGCAUGAUAAUUAAUACAUUUUUAAAUCAAUCACUUUGUCUCUGCACAAUGAACAUUAUCAAAUAUUAUUAAUGUUGUAAAAUAUAUUGUUCAUUGUUAGUUCAUAUUAGCUAAGGAAUUACCAAAUGUUAAGGAAUAAACUAUUGUAGUAAAGUGUUACUAAAUUUUCUUUUACCAUUUCCUUCACAAUGUCUACUUAUUUCUAUGGCUAACAGAUUUUGUAACAUUUGUAUUUUUUACAGUCUUACCAUUGCUUGUAAGCUGGAUUGGGUAAGAUGGAUCAUCUUUAAAGGCACCAGGCAAGUACAUGAUGUACAGUUACAAGUCAUGUAUUUUUUUGACUGCAAUAUUAAAUGCUUUCACUUCACAUGUAAAAGUACACAGGAAUGUGGCUAAUCACUUUUUAUUUGUAGUUUACAUGAGUGUCCUUGCACUUUAUCAGGAGUUAAGGCAGAUGUGGAGGCACAACGGGUGACACCAGACACACCCAAGCACAUUAUGUUCGGACAUUCAAUCAUGACAGGAUCCAGGUGGAUGCUGUCCAUUGAGGAAAGAGUUUGUUCCGAGGUUUCUGGAUAGAAUUAAGUCCAAAGAUGGGAAAAAGUGCACAUCCAGACAAGGAGCAAGCAAAAAGACAAGGAACUUGGUGCAGAGAAAAGCUGUGGCGAUUAACCCCCAUGUGAACAGCUUCAUGCAGUCCCUGAUUGAGUUCGAAUGGACGACUUCAAAGUAAAGGCUACUGUGGUCUGUCUGCCACAGUUUAAUUUUUAAUUUAUUUUUAGUGUUCAAUGAAAUUCAAGUAGAAUAUUUAAAACUAUGGGCCAGUGUUCUUUUUACCACAGUGAAAUGUUACCUUUUAGUCGAUGAUGGACUUUAAACUGAAAACUUCAAACUAUGGACCAGUGUCCUAUUUGCCUGAGUUAAAUAUGUUACAGC